UACGUAGGGUGCAAGCGUUAUCCGGAAUUAUUGGGCGUAAAGAGCUCGUAGGCGGUUUGUCGCGUCUGCUGUGAAAACUGGGGGCUCAACCCCCCAGCCUGCAGUGGGUACGGGCAGACUAGAGUGCGGUAGGGGAGAUUGGAAUUCCUGGUGUAGCGGUGGAAUGCGCAGAUAUCAGGAGGAACACCGAUGGCGAAGGCAGAUCUCUGGGCCGUUACUGACGCUGAGGAGCGAAAGCGUGGGGAGCGAACAGG
rnacentral:rRNA from 1 species